CUUAGGCUCUGCGGGCUGAGGAGGAAGGAGGGCGGGCUGGCGGGCGGGGGCGGGACGCCGAGGGGAGGAGGAGGAGGCGGCUCGGAUGGCUGGCUCGGCUCUCGCUCGCUCUCCCUCCCAUGGGCAGUGCCUGAUGGCUGAGAAGAAUCGCAGAGGACUAGAAAAGGUUUGAGUCUGAAAUUAUCUGGCACAGAGGAUUAAAGCUCAGAAAUAAGUGAUUGCGAAACAGUUCAACUUCCCUGUUAAUGACAACAACAACAGCAACACGCUUAUUAAUUCCUAGCUGGAGCAUCAAGCUUAUGAAGAUUUCCAAGACUUUAUUGUUGACCCUUGUUGAAGAGAACUCUACUUGGCUUCUUUCCUGGCUUUCCUAAAUUGUUCACAUACAAGAUAAACUACCGUCAUUCAGACUUACAGAAGUGAGAAGACAAGCUGAACCAAAUGUAAAAUGGUAGCAAUUUACAGAUGUCAGAACUAACAUGUGGAUGAACUUAGAGAUGGAGAAGAAAGCUGGGCUUUUCCAAAGAGUGGAUCUAUCUGAACUGGAUAGCACUAUUGAACUUUGUUGCAUAUUUUGUGGUAGCUCUAAAACUCCUCUGCUUGCUUACAUACAACCAGACACCAGUGCCUUCUGAAGCUAAUCCAGGCCAUUUUUAUAACCUAAUGCAGUAGCACUUUGCAAUUAGAUGAAGAAGAUCGGUGGGAUUUCUUUCUGUGGUGAUUAAAAUGUGUCAGGGGAAGAAAUCAAGACAAUACUCCAAGUGAAAAAUAUAAAGUCAGUUAUUUCUUUAAUAUUUUGUGUUAUAGUAAUCAUUUUUAUAUUUUGAGCAUACUUUUUCUUGUCUACUUAAAUACUCAAAAUUAAUUAUAAAAUGUAAAUGUAAGCACAAUGAGAUACCAUCUCAUCCCAGUUAAAAUGGCUUUUAUCAAAAAGAUAGGGAAUAAUGAAUACUGGUGGAAGGAUGUGGAGAAUGGGGAACCCUCGUACACUGUCAAUGAGAAUGUAAAUUAGUACAGCCACUAUGGAAAACUGUAUGGAAGUGCCUCCGAAAACAAAGUAGAACUACCAUGUGAUCCAGCAAUUACACUAGUGGGUAUAUAUUCAAAAGAAAGGAAAUCAACAUAUUAAAGAGAUAGCUGCAUUCUCAUGUUUAUUGAAGUCCUGUUGAAAUAGCCAAAAUAUGGAAUCAACCUAAGUGCCCAUCAGUGGAUGAAUGGUUAAAGAAAAUGUGAUUGAUAUGCAAUGGAAUAUUAUUCAGCCAUAAAAAAGAAUGAAAUCCUGGCGGGGCACAGUGGCUCAUGCAAGUAAUCCCAGCACUGACCUCAUGAAGACAGAGAGUAGAUUGGUGGUUACCAGAGGUUGAGAAGGGGAGAGGAGAGGAGGGAUGAAGAGAGGUUGAUUGAUGGAUAGAAAUAUACAGUUUGAUAAUGAUAAAUCAGUAGGGUGACUAUAGUUUAUAAUAACCUAUUGUAUGGUUCAAAAUAGCUAAAAGAGAAUAAUUGAAAUAACGUAAGACAAAAAUUUAAGAUGAUAGAUAUCCCAAUUACACUGAUUUGAUCUUUACAAAUUAUAUGAAUGUAUUAAAUUAUUACAUGUAUCCCCAAAAUAUGUACAAGUAUUUUGUAUCAAUAAAAAAUAAAAUUUAAGAUAAAGUAAAUGUAAUGAUUAGCUUAUAUUUCCUAGAUCGGAAAUAAAUAUUUACUUAAGUAUGUUUAUGAUGAAGAGUUUUUUUAUAUUACUAUAAAAAUAGACACCUUACAUAAACAUAUUACAGUUGGUGUUUAGAUGGCUCUUUUUUUUCUGGCCUUGAAUUUCUGGAAAGUAGGUAUGGCCUGCUAUGUCAGGACUAGUUCUUGGAAUUCUUUGUUGU
rnacentral:lncRNA from 1 species